ensembl:lncRNA
CCCAACGCAUCGCGGUGCCGGAGCUAUCCCACACCUCCACCCCAGCCCCAUAGGGCUCAGCCAGGUGACUAAUUAACUCCUGAGCGCUGCUGCAAUUGCACAGCAGACUGCUUUGGAUGUGAUUAAUGUGGGGUUUAUGCAAGGUGAAGCCACGCACAGCCCUGCUUGCUGCCCCCCAUCCACCCCGCUCUGUUAGAGAAAGAUGGGGGGAUGGCCUCCCCAGCCCCUCCACCUAUGGGUGCACUCCAGAUGUGUGUGCUGUGCCACAUCUGCAUGGAGUCGGACCAGGCAGCCCACACACACCCUGGGGAGCCCACGGAGUUUUCCACCAAGGGAAGGACCAACCCAACAGGGUGUGAAGCUGUCCCAGCAGGAUCUGGCUGUGCUUCCACACCAGAUGAUGGAUCCUGUUGCACAGCGUCUGCUGCGGAGCACGUUGGGAUCCAUUGGGAUGGAGUGUGGAACAUAAACGUGACGGAUGAUUAUAGCCAAUGCAUUUGGGUCUACUCAUGGUGGGACGGAUGUGCGUGCACGAUUGCCAGCAAGCAGCAGGAACACCUCCCUGAAGCCUUAUGGGCUGCAGAGCCCUUUGGAUGGUGAUACUGCAGUGCUUGAAGUGGGCACUGCUCCAUGCAAACGGCCCUGGGUAGGACAGAAGCAGCUCCAGCAGUUGCUAUAGCAGCACAGGUGAAGGGCAGGGAUGCUUCAAGUGCUGAGCCCUGAGGAUGCUGCAAGACACGGAGCUGCUUGGCACCUCCAAGAGCAUCCCUGCAGCCAACACGGAGUGCUGCCUUCCAAGCUCUUCCAAGCUGCCUGUGAUGCAUCAUACCCCUAACCCCAAAACACUGCAUCCUGGGGCAGAGCAGCAAGGCUCAUCCCCCCAGGCGGCUCUCCCUGCUGCGAUCCAUAGCGUUGGCUCAUGGCACACGGUGACAGCUCAUUUCACAGGACGGGCUGACUUCACAAUUGUUUGCUCAAGGGGAAACCUGAUCCAAAACAACAGGCUGUUCUUUUGGAGAGCAAACCUGUGCAUUCUAAUUCCCAUUUGUG